UACAGAGGGUGCGAGCGUUAAUCGGAAUUACUGGGCGUAAAGAGUGCGUAGGUGGUUUAAUAAGUCAGAUGUGAAAUCCCCGGGCUCAACCUGGGAACUGCAUUUGAAACUAUUAGGCUAGAGUACGGUAGAGGGAAGUGGAAUUUCCGGUGUAGCGGUGAAAUGCGUAGAUAUCGGAAGGAACAUCAGUGGCGAAGGCGACUUCCUGGACCGCAACUGACACUGAGGCACGAAAGCGUGGGGAGCAAACAGG
rnacentral:rRNA from 2 species